UGGACUCUUAAGUUUAAGAGUUGGACUCUGU
rnacentral:piRNA from 1 species